ACCGGUGGAAGAUUGUCGUGAGAGUCGUGGAAAAGGAAGGAUAAUAUCUUUGCAGCAGUGGUGGGAGUCGCGGGGCAAACGUAAGCUGGGAUUGCGCUUUUAAAGAUUUACUAUGCAGCAUGCAAAGAUUCUGUAUUCUCAGCUUUUGAUAGAGAUCAAAAUCAGGAGCAAAAAGCGAAAUAAGGUUGUGCGCUUUUUUCUCUGCGUUAGCUAGAAAGCUUGCAUGAUUCUUUGAUCUCUGAAAAAGAGUAGCGUAUCGUUUUAGAGACUUGAGUUUGUAUUGCGAGCAAGAAAGGAAAAAAAAGGGGGGGAGUGAAAAGAUAACAUAACCGAUGCUCUGUCUCCUAGAUUUCUGGUAGUUAGUUCUGCUUAGAAUUAGUCUCCGAUAGGUAUAUCUGUUGUAACAGAACACAUCCUCUAGGCUGUAUUUUGUGUUUAAAUACUAAGGCAAUCGCUAGGAAAGGUAGGGGAAAACAUUAUAUGCAAGCCUCUCUUCUUCCUCACCUCUCUUCUACAUGGUAUCAGAGCCUAUCUCAUACGAGAUUAGGUUCUGAUCUGCAACAUCCAUGGCAACUGGAAAUACUCAGGUUGUUCUCCCAAAUACUCAUGACCCAAACAGUCCUCUAACCUUGAUCACCAUCCACAACUCCAUCAAACUUACCUCCACAAAUUAUCUCUCUUGGAAAACUCAGAUCGAAGCCAUCCUCAUAGGUUAUGACCUGCACAAAUUCAUUGACGGUUCGCAGCCGUCUCCUCCUGCCACCAUCACUGCCAACAAUGCAGCUUCCCCCAAUCCGGCAUAUCAGACAUGGCUGAGACAAGACAAGCUUUUGUUUGGCGCGCUGGUGGGCACGAUGUCACCCAACCUUGUUCCGCUCAUUGCUCAGUCAAAAACAUCUCAUGAUGCUUGGAAAGCCCUCGCCAACACCUAUGCUCGUCCCUCUCGUGGACAUAUCAAACAAAUCAAGGACAACCUGAAGAACAUCUCCAAAGGAUCACAAUCUGUUACCGAUUACAUGCAAGCCAUCAAGACCAAAGCUGAUGAACUUGCCACCCUUGGAAAACCACUUGAUCAUGAAGACUUAAUUGAGAAAGUCUUGGACGGCCUUGAUGACACAUUCCAAUCUGUCAUUGAUGCAGUCAACAGCCGCGACACGGUCAUCACCUUUGAUGAACUCCAUGAAAAACUCAUCAACAAAGAGCUGUCCUUGCGCAAUUCCUCACCAGGUUUUCCAGCCUCUGCCCACCUCACACACACACAACGCUCAAAUCAGCGGUCACCGGGCAAUCACCCACCAUGGCCUGCUCGUCCUCCAACCUUGCAGUCCGCUCCCAGCCACUACAACCGACCAAUGCGUCCAUUUCUGGGCAAAUGCCAGUGGUGCCGUGGUCAAGGUCAUGUGGUCCCUCAGUGCACUCUCUUCCGCCAACAAUUUCCUCAUGCUUCACCACCAUCACGCGCUGUCAGUUCACCGCCACUUCGUGCACCCCCUCCUUGGCAAGCUCAAGCUCAUGUUGCUACCUCAAACUCCCCAUCACAUGAUCCUUGGCUAUUGGACAGUGGUGCUACGCAUCACAUUACAACUGACCUUCAAAACCUCUCCUUUCACAACCCCUAUACUGGUCCAGAUGAAAUCAUGAUUGGAGAUGGCUCUGGCAUUCCUAUCACACACACGGGACCUUCAAUCGAAAGCCAUGCUCUUCCAAGGCCAAACUAAAAAUGGUGUCUAUGAGUGGCCCAUCUCCUCGGCUUCAUCACCAUUGCUUGCUUUCUCCACAACAAAGACCACAUACCCUGCCUGGCAUCACCGACUUGGUCACCCAUCACUACCGACACUCAAACACAUGGUCUCAUCAUUCAAUCUGGAUGUCUCAAAUUCUUCCUCUCUCAACUCUCAUUGCAAUUCUUGUCAUUGUAAUAAGAGUCACAAAUUACCUUUCUCUGUGUCUACCUUGUUCACUUCUUCUCCACUUGAAAUUGUCUUCACGGAUGUUUGGACUUCACCUGUGUACUCCAUUGACAACUUUAAAUACUAUAUUCUCUUUGUUGAUCAUUUCACAAAAUAUAUGUGGCUGUAUCCGCUGAAACGCAAAUCUGAUGCUCGUAAUGUUUUCAUUUCCUUCAAGGCCUUGGUUGAAAAAUUCUUCAACUGUGAAAUCAAAACGCUUUACUCUGAUAAUGGUGGCGAAUAUCAGGCCCUCUCUUCCUUCCUAACAAUCAAUGGCAUCUCUCAUCUCACCUCUCCUCCUCAUACUCCUGAACACAAUGGCUAUUCUGAACGUCGCCAUCGUCAUAUUGUUGAAACUGGACUUUCUCUCCUUUCUCACGCAUCUAUGCCUCUGGCCUAUUGGUCCUUUGCCUUUUCCACAGCCGUAUAUCUUAUAAAUCGUCUCUCGACACCUACUCUCAACAAUGAGUCUCCAUUCCUUAAACUUUUUGGCACUGUCCCUAACUACAAUAAACUUCGAAGUUUUGGCUGCCUCUGCUAUCCCUGGCUCCGUCCUUACACCUCUCACAAACUUGAACCCAAAUCAACUCCUUGUCUCUUGGUUGGAUAUUCCUCUACUCAAAGUGCUUAUCUCUGUCUUGAUAUAUCCUCCAACCGAUUGUACACCUCUCGUCAUGUCCGUUUUGUUGAGUCUGUGUUUCCCUUUGCCAACUCUAAUCUCACCCUCCCUCGGGUCACCUCCUCCACCACAUCCGAAUGGUGUUCUAUGACUUUACCUGUCAUUCCUUCUGUGUCCCCCUCCGUCCCAACAACCUCUCAACCCCAAGGACAACCUUUAUCGUCGCAACCCGCAUCCAGUUCUGGAUUACCACCCAUCUCCUCCCCUCCUACUCCAGCUGCAACUAUAUCCACAACCACCAACCCGACGCCCUCAUCUCCUCAAGGCAUAAUUACUCGGUCCAAACACAACAUUCACAAACCCAUUCAAAAACUCAACCUCAAUGCUGAACUCCACCAUCCCACCCUUGUGCCCACCACCGUCAAUCAAGCAUUGAAAGAUCCUCAAUGGCGGCAAGCCAUGUCCACAGAAUUUGAUGCUCUUCUUCGUAAUGGCACGUGGGAACUUGUUCCAUCUCAUCCUACCCAAAAUUUGGUAGGGUGUAAAUGGAUUUUUCGCAUCAAGUACUUACCUGAUGGCUCUGUUGACAGGUACAAAGCGCGUCUGGUGGCCAAAGGUUUUCAUCAACGCCCAGGGGUUGAUUUCACCGAGACCUUCAGUCCUGUCAUCAAACCAACCACUGUGCGUCUGGUUCUUAGCCUUGCGAUAAGUCAAGGCUGGUCACUUCGCCAACUGGAUGUCAACAAUGCCUUUCUUCAAGGCACACUUUCAGAAGUGGUGUUUAUGUCUCAACCUCCAGGCUUCAUUGACCGUGAUCAUCCUCACCAUGUCUGCAGGCUUCGCAAGGCCAUCUACGGCCUCAAACAGGCUCCACGCGCCUGGUAUCAUGAAUUACGCCAAUUUCUGCUCACUUCAGGCUUUCAUAACUCCACGGCAGAUACCUCUCUAUUCAAUUCAACACUCAAGGAGUUAUUCUUUAUCUUCUUGUUUACGUUGAUGAUAUCAUUAUUACUGGAAACACAGCUCAAGCUGUACAUCAGUUUCUUCAGCAACUCUCUAUGCGCUUCUCCUUAAAGGAUCUUGGGGACUUACACUACUUCCUGGGUGUUGAAACGCUUCCCCAUGACGAUGGUCUGUUUCUUAGUCAACGAAGGUAUAUUGUUGAUCUUCUUCAAAAAACUCGGAUGACUGAGGCAAAACCAGCCACUACACCUCUAGCAACAAGUCCGCCUCUUACCUUGCAUGCUGGUACUCCCUUAUCUAAUCCUACAGAGUAUCGCACCAUUGUUGGAAGUCUUCAGUACCUCUCCUUGACCCGUCCAGACAUCACUUACACCGUCAAUAAACUUUCUCAAUUCAUGCAUCAACCAACGAAUGAACAUUGGACGGCUGUCAAACGCUUACUUCGCUAUCUCUGUGGCACGUUAGAUCAUGGCAUAACACUUCGUCGUAAGUCAUCUCUUACUCUUCAUGCUUUCUCCGAUGCUGACUGGGCCGGCAACAAGGAUGAUUUUACUUCCACCAGUGCUUACAUUGUUUAUCUCGGCCAUAAUCCUGUAUCUUGGAGCUCCAAGAAACAAAGAACUGUUGCCCGCUCUUCAACCGAAGCUGAGUAUCGAUCAGUUGCUGCCACGGCCGCUGAACUCCGAUGGAUUUGUUCUCUCCUCACUGAACUUGGCAUUUCUAUUCCCCAUCAACCGGUGAUUUAUUGUGACAAUGUUGGAGCCACAAACCUCUGUGCCAAUCCAGUUUUUCACUCGCGUAUGAAGCAUGUUGCCUUAGACUAUCAUUUCAUUCGUGAACAAGUACAAAACGGUCUCCUCAGAGUCUCUUAUGUCUCAGCUUCUGAUCAGCUUGCCGAUGUCCUCACCAAGCCCCUGUCUCGCCAACAAUUCACCAUGGUUUUGAACAAGAUUGGACUCACUCCACCACCAUCUUGCGGGGGGAUGAAAAGAUAACAUAACCGAUGCUCUGUCUCCUAGAUUUCUGGUAGUUAGUUCUGCUUAGAAUUAGUCUCCGAUAGGUAUAUCUGUUG
rnacentral:lncRNA from 1 species